rnacentral:rRNA from 1 species
AACGUAGGUGGCGAGCGUUAUCCGGAAUUACUGGGCGUAAAGCGUGUGUAGGCGGCUAUGCAAGUCGGAUGUGAAAGCCCUCGGCUCAACCGGGGAAGUGCACCCGAAACUGCAAAGCUAGAGUCUCGGAGAGGAUCGUGGAAUUCUCGGUGUAGAGGUGAAAUUCGUAGAUAUCGAGAGGAACACCGGUGGCGAAGGCGGCAUCCUGGACCGAUACUGACGCUGAGGAGCGAAAGCCAGGGGAGCAAACGGG